rnacentral:rRNA from 1 species
UAGCUAUGUGUGGACGGGAUAAGUGCUGAAAGCAUCUAAGCAUGAAGCCCCCCUCAAGAUGAGAUUUCCCAACUUCGGUUAUAAGAUCCCUCAAAGAUGAUGAGGUUAAUAGGUUCGAGGUGGAAGCAUGGUGACAUGUGGAGCUGACGAAUACUAAUCGAUCGAAGACUUAAUCAA